rnacentral:rRNA from 1 species
AACGCUGGCGGCGUGCCUAAUACAUGCAAGUCGAACGGUCUUUCUAUGGAAGCUUGCUUCCACUGAGAAGAUAGUGGCGAACGGGUGAGUAGCACGUGGGUAACCUGCCCAUAAGAGGGGGAUAACAUCCGGAAACGGGUGCUAAUACCGCAUAGUUUUCUUGAUCGCAUGAUUGAGAAAGGAAAGACGGCCUUUGUGCUGUCGCUUAUGGAUGGACCCGCGGCGUAUUAGUUAGUUGGUGAGGUAACGGCUCACCAAGACGAUGAUACGUAGCCGACCUGAGAGGGUGAUCGGCCACAUUGGGACUGAGACACGGCCCAAACUCCUACGGGAGGCAGCAGUAGGGAAUCUUCCGCAAUGGACGAAAGUCUGACGGAGCAACGCCGCGUGAGUGAAGAAAAGGUUUUCGGAUCGUAAAACUCUGUUGUCAGAGAAGAACAAGUUGGAGAGUAACUGCUCCAGCCUUGACGGUAUCUGACCAGAAAGCCACGGCUAACUACGUGCCAGCCGCCGC